UACGGGGGAUGCAAGCGUUAUCCGGGUUUAUUGGGUUUAAAGGGUGCGUAGGCUGUGAGGUAAGUCAGCGGUGAAAUGCCCCCGCUCAACGGGGUGAAGUGCCAUUGAUACUGCCUUGCUGGAAUGCGGAUGCCGUGGGAGGAAUGUGUGGUGUAGCGGUGAAAUGCAUAGAUAUCACACAGAACACCGAUUGCGAAGGCAUCUCACGAAUCCGCGAUUGACGCUGAUGCACGAAAGCGUGGGUAUCAAACAGG
rnacentral:rRNA from 1 species